UACAGAGGGGGCAAGCGUUGUUCGGAAUUACUGGGCGUAAAGGGCGCGUAGGCGGCCCGCUAAGUCGAACGUGAAAUCCCAGAGCUCAACUCGGGAACUGCGUGUGAGACUGGCAGGCUCGAGGGCAGGAGAGGAACGCGGAAUUCCAGGUGUAGCGGUGAAAUGCGUAGAUAUCUGGAGGAACACCGGUGGCGAAGGCGGCGUUCUGGACUGUCUCUGACACUGAAGAACGAAAGCCAGGGGAGCAAACGGG
rnacentral:rRNA from 1 species